rnacentral:lncRNA from 1 species
UAAUGAGAAAAUAAAGAUUAAUGGGCUGGGGAUUUGGCUCAGUGCCACUACACCUGCCUUGCAAGCUCAAGGUCCUGAGUUCGAUCCCCAAUACUGCAAAAAAAAAAAGAAAGAAAGAAAGAUUAAGUAGUGUGACAUACAUCUAGUAAGUGGUACAAGACUAUUACACCAGGUGCAGUGAUGCUCACCUGUGAUCUCUGGAGGCUGAGGCAGGAGGAUCGCAAGUUUGAGUACAGUCUGGGCUACUCGGUAAUUAGCUAGACCUGGGUAAUUGCUACCGCCAAGUAACAGAGGAAGUGAUACAUCACACCUGUGCCCAGGAGCAACACUUCAAAGUGUGUCAGGCUGAAAAAUAUCACAGGUAAAACAGUACAUGUGCAGUGGUCCAAGACUGCUACUUGGGUGGCUGAGGCAGGAGGACUAAGCUCGGGAGUUUGGGGCCAGCUUGGGCAACAUAGGGAUGACAGACAGACAGACAGACAGGCAGGCAGGCAGGCAGGCAGGCAGGCAGACGGGUGGAUGGGUGGGUGGAUGGAUGGAUGGAUGGAUGGGAAGCUGGGCAUGGCCAGGUGAGUAGAGUCUUUUCAAUGAAACAUAAGCCAAUGGGAUAAGUUAUUUGCCCAAGAAUCAGAAUGUGAUGUGCUUGUGACCUGUUCUCUAUCUAUCCAAAGAGGACAAUUCCCUAAGGAAUGACGGACCAACAAGAUGAAAAGUAGCAGGAUCCUGGAAGGACUGGAACAGCUGCCAACUGGACUCUCAUCACAGACUUGGCGAAAGACUUGGGAAUUAUCCGUCCUCUGUUGGAGGAGGAGCUCUCUGCCCAAGCAUCCUAAACCUUCACCCUCUAUAAUAGGCCAUUCAUUUAAGGUGCACAAUGACCCAGAGAGUUGGCUACUAUUAUUAUUCCUGUUUCACAUGUAAGGUUACUGAGGCUCAGAGAAGGCUGAAUAAUUUGCCCAAAUCUAUCGCUGAACCGCCCUAAAUGGACCCAAUCUUACAAGCUUGCUUGGUGCUUGGAUGGGAGGCUGCUUAUCACUGCCAGAAGCCCGAGGCUUUACAAUAAUAAUAAAUUCACCCACAAUUCCCAAACCAUGUGGUGCAAACAACAUCAGAAGCCAGAUUCCUUCAGCUCUAAAGAACACACACAAGUUCUGACUCACAAGUUCCAGGGCUGAGGCUGAGAAUCUGCAUUUGUAUAAAGCUCCUCUGUUACAGUUUGGAUUAAAAAUAAAAUGUGCCCAC